rnacentral:rRNA from 1 species
UAGAGUUUGAUCCUGGCUCAGGACGAACGCUGGCGGCGUGCCUAAUACAUGCAAGUCGAGCGAGCUUGCCUAGAUGAUUUUAGUGCUUGCACUAAAUGAAACUAGAUACAAGCGAGCGGCGGACGGGUGAGUAACACGUGGGUAACCUGCCCAAGAGACUGGGAUAACACCUGGAAACAGAUGCUAAUACCGGAUAACAACACUAGACGCAUGUCUAGAGUUUGAAAGAUGGUUCUGCUAUCACUCUUGGAUGGACCUGCGGUGCAUUAGCUAGUUGGUAAGGUAACGGCUUACCAAGGCAAUGAUGCAUAGCCGAGUUGAGAGACUGAUCGGCCACAUUGGGACUGAGACACGGCCCAAACUCCUACGGGAGGCAGCAGUAGGGAAUCUUCCACAAUGGACGAAAGUCUGAUGGAGCAACGCCGCGUGAGUGAAGAAGGGUUUCGGCUCGUAAAGCUCUGUUGGUAGUGAAGAAAGAUAGAGGUAGUAACUGGCCUUUAUUUGACGGUAAUUACUUAGAAAGUCACGGCUAACUACGUGCCAGCAGCCGCGGUAAUACGUAGGUGGCAAGCGUUGUCCGGAUUUAUUGGGCGUAAAGCGAGUGCAGGCGGUUCAAUAAGUCUGAUGUGAAAGCCUUCGGCUCAACCGGAGAAUUGCAUCAGAAACUGUUGAACUUGAGUGCAGAAGAGGAGAGUGGAACUCCAUGUGUAGCGGUGGAAUGCGUAGAUAUAUGGAAGAACACCAGUGGCGAAGGCGGCUCUCUGGUCUGCAACUGACGCUGAGGCUCGAAAGCAUGGGUAGCGAACAGGGAGUAGAUCCCCUGGUAGUCACAUGCGGGAAAGAGAGGAGUGGUAGGUGUGGGGAGGUGUCCGCCUUUCAGUGCUGCAGCUAACGCAUUAAGCACUCCGCCUGGGGAGUACGACCGCAAGGUUGAAAUUCAAAGGAAUUGACGGGGACCCGCACAAGCGGUGGAGCAUGAGGUUUAAUCCGAAGCAACGCGAAGAACCUUACCAAGUCUUGACAUCCUCUUGAAUAAAGGGUAAUACCUUUAGGCCUUCGGGACGUCCGAGACAGGUGGUGCAUGGUUGUCGUCAGCUCGUGUCGUGAGAUGUUGGGUUAAGUCCCGCAACGAGCGCAACCCCUGUUUCCAGUAGCCAGCAUAUAAAGAUGGGCACUCUGGAGAGACUGCCCGGGAUAACCGGGAGGCAAGGCGCGGAUGACGUCAAAUCAUCAUGCCCCUUAUGAUCAGGGCUACACACGUGCUACAAUGGCGUAAACAAAGGGAAGCGAGACGGUGACGUUGAGCAAAUCCCAGAAAUAACGUCCCAGUUCGGAUUGUAGUCUGCAACCCGACUACAUGAAGCUGGAAUCGCUAGUAAUCGCGAAUCAGAAUGUCGCGGUGAAUACGUUCCCGGGUCUUGCACACACCGCCCGUCA